AACGCGAAGAACCUUACCUGGGCUCGAAGUGCUCGGGACCAGCGGUGGAAACAUCGCCUUCCCGCAAGGGACUCGAGUAGAGGUGCUGCAUGGCUGUCGUCAGCUCGUGCCGUGAGGUGUUGGGUUAAGUCCCGCAACGAGCGCAACCCUUACUCUUAGUUGCCACCCGCAAGGGGGAACUCUAAGAGGACUGCUCCGGAUAACGGAGAGGAAGGUGGGGAUGACGUCAAGUCAGCACGGCCUUUAUGUCCAGGGCCACAAGCGUGCUACAAUGGACAACACAAAGGGUCGCAAACUCGCAAGAGCCAGCUAAUCCCAGAAAGUUGUUCUCAGUUCGGAUCGGAGUCUGCAACUCGACUCCGUGAAGUUGGAAUCGCUAGUAAUCGCGGAUCAGCACGCCGCGGUGAAUACGUUCCCGGGCCUUGUACACACCGCAUAC
rnacentral:rRNA from 1 species